AAAAAAGAACUUGAAGAAUGUCAAAUGUGUGUACAUAUCUUUCCACCCUCUCCUCUCCAUAUUGGAUUCAAAUGGUAAAACAAUAGUCACCAUUAGGGUUGGACAAGCCAAGAAGAAUUGGCCGAACUCGACCAACCCACAAACAGAAAAAAGGAAACGGGUCAACAAAUGUAAAGAUCGAGUAUCUAUGGGUGGACGCAGGCUUGUUCGUGUUUAUAAAUAACAACAAUUGAUACCCAAAUCCAAUCGAGGGUUUAGUAUAGAUGGUUUGGCCUGACUAAAUCAAAAGUCCAUUAACUAAGUUCAGUUGAAUCUACACUUAAGAAAACCUAGGUAUAACAGCAAAAAUUUCCUCAAAUGAAAACCCUAGUUCUUUUCCUCUACGCCACCGGUCCUCUCUCUCACUCUCAGAAAGACAUUAUGAAAGACUUGCUUUUACGGAACAAGAUAUUUUAAAAGAAUUAGUGAGGUUCUAGCUUUAGAAGAUGGAGCAAAAAGAGGGUAACAGUCAAGGAGGAGAACAAGAAGUAAUGGAGCAACAUCAUUGUUAUCCCAGACGCAUGGAAUAACAGGAAAACAAUCAGGACAUUGGUUGGGGUUUGACCAGACCACCAUUACCAAUCAAGACUCAAUUAUCUUGGUGACCCACAUUAAGAUAUUGUGCGACUUUUCCUUAUUUCAAAGGAAAAUAUUUGAGCUGAAGGAACACAAGACAUGAAUUUAGCAUCAGAAAAUCAGUUUCAAACUCGUGAAAUUAGAAUUUGAUGUUUUGCUUUAUGAUGUAAUCAGUCAAUCGCAGUUUGUUUUCAAGAUGUAAUAUUUUAUGAAUCUA